rnacentral:lncRNA from 8 species
AUGCCUCGGGGUUGUUAGACUGCACCAGUCCUGUCAGUGGGAACAGCAACAGGUAAAAUCAGGACACACAUAUUCAUUCUACAUAUAGUUAUUGUUUGACAGUGCAAAGCAACCGGGAAACUACAGCAAUCGAUCAAGUGCAAUGCAUUUCCAUGUUCUUUCACAUCCAUUACUAUGAGUCUGUGUUAUAUACUGAAUCUCAUUGGCGUCUCUAAAAUGGGAAGUUUUCAGGAGUCUUUGUCAUGAUAUGUUAUGGGUCUAGACCCCAAAGAGCAGUGAGAAACCAAACAGAAACACAUCCACAUGGCCUGUUUAUUGUAUCUAUGGCAGAAUAAGACGUGUCGUAUAUUACAGAUGAAUAAUAAUGUGUUUUCUGUUCCAGUGGCUCUCCCUCCUAUAUCUUCAAACAGCCCUUUGUCCCCAUAUCCUCUCCUGCGUCACCUGAAGGGAACAUGUGGACCAAGAAACAGAUCUGUCGUCCUCUCUCGGCUGUGACCUUCAGUAUUCCAUUCGGUCUAGACAGUGACGUGGACGUUGUCAUGGGCAACCCCGUGCAUUCUGCCAGCACCAACAGCCUGACCGCCGGCGUGCCCGCCAUGAUGACUUCAUCGAGCAUGAUGUCAUCGGGGAUGACACGGGUCCCCUACUGCCCCCCCGAGGACCUCAGUCACCUGGUCAGCGCCUCUGUCCCUCAACGCUCCUCCUGGGGCCCGCACACACACUCACACACACCGGCCCUAGGGGAGCUGCCGACCGUCAAGAUCAUCCACACUCCUGGAGGAGGAGGAGAAAGAGGUGGAGGAGGGAAAGGAGGAGAGAAAGGAGAUAAAGGAGGAGAGAGAGGAGGAGGAGGAGGAAGAGGAAGGCCAGAGCCACGCUUGUGUCCAGAAGGAGCUCCUGCAGGUUUCUUCCUUCAUUCUCCUGAAGACAACCUGACCCAGCUCAGCAGCUCCGCCCCCUGCCGCUCCGGAAUGCUCUACCGGCCAAUAGGAGGGGAGGGGGGCGGAGGAGAGAAGCGGAGAGUGGGAGGCAGGGAGAGGGGGGAGAAGGGGAGACGGACAUCGGAUGGCUCGCGGGACGAUGACUCGGUCCUCCGCGACGGAAGUGUGGACUCAUCGGAAGCUUCCGACGACCUUCCUAGAAACGCCCCCGGCAACGUCCGCCCUGGCCACGGUCGUCACGGCAACGGCAGC